UCUCCACAUUGGUGGAAGAAGAGAACUUGAAAGUAUUUAUAAUCAAGAACACUUACUCCACAUGGCAAGUGAGGCAAGAAAUAAGAGAUGCUUCACACCGUCGUCGUUGUCGCUUGCUCGGCUUCGAAUUUGGAUUUGGAUUUGGCAAAUGAUCGAUCGAUGAGAUCUAUUCAGAAAUGAUACAUUGUUCUGAACUAAGGCUACAGAAGGUUGCAAUGGUUCGAAAUGAUGCUUCAAAAGAUAUAAUCCUUCAAUGAAGUGACACACUGAUUCAUGAAAUGAGAUAACUGUUCAGGAAAAGAUGCAAUCUUUGAGGAACAGACAUGAACUUACAGCAAAGGUGUAACCUUUGGAGUGAACCAUUGCCUCUUUUUAGAAGAGGCAUAUUGUGGCUAUAUAAACCUGGUUUCUUUUACAGGUUUAGUAUGAAAUUUUCAGAAUAAAAACUCUCUUUUUUUCUUUACAAAUAUUCUGUGUGAUCAAUUAAAACAUUCUGUGCGUUCGAAGAAUCCGCCUAUUUGAGGUACCGCUAUAGUCGGAUUGAAGGCCAUUUUAUUCUGGGAGGAAAAUUCCAUAACCUCGGGUAUGGUGAGGGGAAUUAUUCCUUAAGGAAAGUUCGUGAAUUCGGAUGACUUGGUCUUAUUCAUUUCUGUUUCAUCUAUUUUCAGAAAAAUAAAAUACACCUCUUGGAAAGGUUAUUUUGAUCUUGUGUUGAGGAUAUUUGAUAUACUUUAUUGUGUUCUUGUUUAUAUACUUGAACUUUAGUGGAAGUUGUUGUUUCUACUAUACAGAUUCUGCGUACCCGUAGAAGGAAUAUAACAAUUAUUUUGCAUGAUCGCUCUAAUUCAAAUAACAUGUUUGCCUUUUCAGCAGUCUCAGGGUGAUCCGAACUAGUGGAGUGGUGCUUAUUUUGUUAUACACCAGGAUAUGAUGCCUAUGGUUAUGCCCAACCUAUUCCAGAUGCAGACAUAUUCUAUGCAGGUUAUGCCUGGUAUGGAAAUUAUGCACAACCUCCACGUUAAGGCGUCGUUUGGUAAAGUGUAUAAGAUUCAAUGCAAAAUAUAGUGCAUUAGUAAUGCUUGUAUUAGUUAUGCAUGUAUUAUUUCUUAUACAUUGUUUGGUUUGAUGUAUAAGAAAUAAUACAUCUUAUAUAAUUUCUAUAAAAGAAAUGUUUGUUUACAAAAAUAUCCUUCUUUGAUUUUGUACACUUUUUUGCAACAAAAUUUUUUUGCCAUCUCAAAUAUAAUUAGUAUUGUUAAACUAGUAUAUAGAGGUUUCGAAUUAAUUGCAAGACCUUCGUCUUUGCGCAUGAAAUAUUAUGUCAACGGAUUAACAUAAUCGAAACAAAAAUAAAAUAUACAACGUAGAAUUAAGAAAUAGUCUCAGUUUUCUUUUAAAUUUUUUUAAAGACCCUCGAAGCAAAGUAAAAAUACGUUACAAUUAUUUAAAUCAAUUAUUCAUUGUUGUAGAUUAAAAUGGUGGGAAAAAAAUUGUAAAAUGUUUUGAGAAAAUUCACUAGUGCAAACUAAAAUGGCGGUAAAAGGAAUGGUGAAAUAUUUUGAGAGGAAAAUUGAGGGGUAUUAAGGUCAUUUAAUAAUGUAAUACAUGUAUUAAAGAUUUUUCAUUACUAAUACAUAGAAAAUAGGUAGUAUUAAUAAUACACACCUUAAUACACAAUAGAGUGUAUAACUAAUGCUAUACAUUGACUAAAAAUUGUACCAAAUAAGGUUUGCAUAAUAUACAUUAAUUAAUACAUCCAUUAUUUUUGCCAAUACACUCUACCAAACAACCCCUAACAACAACAAAUGUCUCAGCAGCAGCCCCAGGUAUUUUCCAAACCUUUGAACUCUUUAUCUUCUAUGUCUAUUUAGGGAAUGACAUUGAAUAUAUGCACAUUCUACUAGGAGGGAAUACAACCUUUUUUUUUUUGUCAUUGUUUGUAUUUCUCCUAUUCAAUUUCUUAACAUUUGUGUGACACUAGGCGAAGAAAAUGAGUUGCUAGAGAAGUAGUAACUUAAAAUAGGUAGCACCAAUUUAUUCAUCACAUCACAUUUUAUUCCUCAUGGGUAGCAAAUGGACUUAUGUUUUGCAGUAAUCUGCUGGUCAAAGGAAUUGCUGAGAGCUUCCUAACAACAAAAACAUUGAUGUAGAAAAGCGGAACACGUGGAUUUUUCAGUUGAGUGUAGAGGUAGUUUAGUUUAUUAUCUGUAGGUUAGUUGCUUGGAGACCAUUUAUGUUUUGGUCGGCUGUCUGUUUCUGUAGUUGCCUCUUUUCUAUUUCCUUCUUUGUCGGCCUAUUGCACUCUUGGACAUUUCACUUAUAUGCGGUCUAGUUAUGUUAAGGGCCACACAGAGAUCUAGGACGUCUUUUUUGCACCUCAACAGUUUUGGCUUGUCAAAUGUUUAUUUUGAUGAAUCAUGGUGCUUUUUCUUAAUAAUUUUCAUUUCUUGAUAAUUGGUUUUGUUUACCAUUUCAAUCAUUACAUCUUGUGUCGGGUUAAUUACCAUUUUUAAAUUCAGAUGGCUUGUUAGUUUGUUCUGUUAAGGGUGCUCAGAUGUUGUCAUUAAAAAGAUUGUAAAUUGCUUGGUUUGCUGCUUGAUUUGAGGCAAUUUUGUGUUUAGGUGGUACCAUAGAUCUGUUUUGAUUCCUGUUGCCUCAAGUUGGGGUUAUAAUUUGUGAAGGGUGGAGUAAGUUACUUGUCAAAAA
rnacentral:lncRNA from 1 species